rnacentral:rRNA from 1 species
AGGAUCAUUAUUGAAAUAAACUUGAUAAGUUGUUGCUGGUUCUCUAGGGAGCAAUGUGCACGCUUGUCAUCUUUGUAUCUUCACCUGUGCACCUUUUGUAGACCUGAUUAUCUCUCUGAAUGCUUUAUAGCACUCAGGAUUGAGAAUUGACUUCUUGUCUCUUCUUAUAUUUUCAGGUCUAUGUUUACAUCUACCCUAAUGUAUGUUUAUAGAAUGUAAUUAAUGGGCCUUUGUGCCUAUAAACCUUUACAACUUUCAGCAACGGAUCUCUUGGCUCUCGCAUCGAUGAAGAACGCAGCGAAAUGCGAUAAGUAAUGUGAAUUGCAGAAUUCAGUGAAUCAUCGAAUCUUUGAACGCACCUUGCGCUCCUUGGUAUUCCGAGGAGCAUGCCUGUUUGAGUGUCAUUAAUAUUAUCAACCUUUUUGGUUGGAUUUGGGUUUGCUGGCCUUUUUGAGGUCAGCUCUCCUUAAAUGCAUUAGUGGACAACAUUUUGCCAAUCGUUCAUUGGUGUGAUAAUUAUCUACGCUAUUGACGUGAAGCAAAGGUUCAGCUUCUAACAGUCCAUUGACUUGGACAAGCCUCUUUUAUUAAUGUGACCUCAAAUCAGGUAGGACUACCCGCUGAACUUAA